rnacentral:lncRNA from 1 species
CUUCUGUUUAAAAACGAACGUCAUAUAAAGUUGCGCGUCCAUGUAUUCUACUGCAUAUCAAUAGUUGUUUGUGUUCUUUACUGUAAUAGAUUGCUCUUGGAUUCUUUAGACCGUCCCGUUUAGUUAGAAGAUUAUUUUGAUUCAUUCUAUCUUUUGACGACAGAGUUAUAAGGAUAUUGGACUGUUCACCUACUACAUAUACAUUGCCUGCAUCGUCUGUUGUAAUACUUGAAGAAGAAUUACUGUUCUGUAGUUUACUACUAUAAUACUGCCAUAUCUGGCUUCCAUCUGUCUCUAGGCAAAAUACAUGUCCUAGUCUGUCAGUGUAAAAUACAUUUUCAGAAGUAGUCACAAUAUUGAAUAUGUUUUUAACUUCUGAAUACUUCUUAAUACUACAUCCAUAAACGUCUAGUACACUUA